GAGCUUGCUCCUCUGACGUUAGCGGCGGACGGGUGAGUAACACGUGGAUAACCUACCUAUAAGACUGGGAUAACUUCGGGAAACCGGAGCUAAUACCGGAUAAUAUAUUGAACCGCAUGGUUCAAUAGUGAAAGACGGUUUUGCUGUCACUUAUAGAUGGAUCCGCGCCGCAUUAGCUAGUUGGUAAGGUAACGGCUUACCAAGGCAACGAUGCGUAGCCGACCUGAGAGGGUGAUCGGCCACACUGGAACUGAGACACGGUCCAGACUCCUACGGGAGGCAGCAGUAGGGAAUCUUCCGCAAUGGGCGAAAGCCUGACGGAGCAACGCCGCGUGAGUGAUGAAGGUCUUCGGAUCGUAAAACUCUGUUAUUAGGGAAGAACAAAUGUGUAAGUAACUAUGCACGUCUUGACGGUACCUAAUCAGAAAGCCACGGCUAACUACGUGCCAGCAGCCGCGGUAAUACGUAGGUGGCAAGCGUUAUCCGGAAUUAUUGGGCGUAAAGCGCGCGUAGGCGGUUUUUUAAGUCUGAUGUGAAAGCCCACGGCUCAACCGUGGAGGGUCAUUGGAAACUGGAAAACUUGAGUGCAGAAGAGGAAAG
rnacentral:rRNA from 1 species